GCAGUCGAGCGAGCUUGCCUAGAUGAAUUUGGUGCUUGCACCAGAUGAAACUAGAUACAAGCGAGCGGCGGACGGGUGAGUAACACGUGGGUAACCUGCCCAAGAGACUGGGAUAACACCUGGAAACAGAUGCUAAUACCGGAUAACAACACUAGACGCAUGUCUAGAGUUUAAAAGAUGGUUCUGCUAUCACUCUUGGAUGGACCUGCGGUGCAUUAGCUAGUUGGUAAGGUAACGGCUUACCAAGGCAAUGAUGCAUAGCCGAGUUGAGAGACUGAUCGGCCACAUUGGGACUGAGACACGGCCCAAACUCCUACGGGAGGCAGCAGUAGGGAAUCUUCCACAAUGGACGCAAGUCUGAUGGAGCAACGCCGCGUGAGUGAAGAAGGGUUUCGGCUCGUAAAGCUCUGUUGGUAGUGAAGAAAGAUAGAGGUAGUAACUGGCCUUUAUUUGACGGUAAUUACUUAGAAAGUCACGGCUAACUACGUGCCAGCAGCCGCGGUAAUACGUAGGUGGCAAGCGUUGUCCGGAUUUAUUGGGCGUAAAGCGAGUGCAGGCGGUUCAAUAAGUCUGAUGUGAAAGCCUUCGGCUCAACCGGAGAAUUGCAUCAGAAACUGUUGAACUUGAGUGCAGAAGAGGAGAGUGGAACUCCAUGUGUAGCGGUGGAAUGCGUAGAUAUAUGGAAGAACACCAGUGGCGAAGGCGGCUCUCUGGUCUGCAACUGACGCUGAGGCUCGAAAGCAUGGGUAGCGA
rnacentral:rRNA from 1 species